ensembl:lncRNA
AGAAAAACACUGUGAUGUGUAAAACAUUUCUACAGUCCUUCAAGGCUGUAUGAUGUCGUUGUUCUCUUUUACUGAAAGAAAGGUCAAAACCAUCGGUGUUAUUCGUUGUGGAGACUGAAGUGACAAUAUGUCUGAAGAAAAUGAAAAUAUGUAUUACGUAUCCUACCAUCUAACCAGGUUAUAUUGUCACUUCAGUCUCCACAACGAAUAACACCGAUGGUUUUGACCUUUCUUUCAGUAAAAGAGAACAACGACAUCAUACAGUGUUGAAGGACUGUAGAAAUGUUUUACACAUCACAGUGUUUUUCUCAACAACGUAGCCAAUAAAUAGUUCAAUUAUUUCACGAACCUCAGUCUGUUCAUUUCUUGACAGAAGGAUUACACAUAGAUCAUACACAUACACAUGCAUAACAUGUCCAAAAUUCUAAUACAUCUACCACAUUCAGUCACCAGGUCUAGUAUUUUCUGAUAGAUUAGUUACACAAACUGAUAAUUACCACAGAAGUAAUUUCAGAAACAAAGAUUCACUUAAACCACAAAUGUACACAUUGGUAGGGAUCGUUAAACCCUGAAACACACGACUUGUCCCUUAAUUCAUUAACAUAAACACACUGUAAGCAUUCUGGUCAGCAAACCCCCAAGAAACACAUGACUCUCUCUCUCUAACACACCCACACACACGCAGGCACACCCACACACCCACAUACACACACACUUCAGACACUGUCACCAGAGCUCAUAAAUGUAAAAUUUACACUAUCUACAGAACUGUCACCCCGGGAAAACAUAUGUGUAGGACAGUGUGUAUAGGCCUACAAGACAUCGCCCCGGAAAAUGUGUCUUCUAGUUUAAACAAAACUCUCGAUUCUUUUAAGCAGCACUUUAAACAUUUUACAUCCUAAAGGGUUAGGUUUAGAAGGCAUGUUAUACGCGCGUUUCUUAUAAAACACCGUCUUUAAAACGUUUACCUCCUAAAGGGACGUAUUUAGAAGGUAUGUAAAAACUUUUUUUUUCUUUUUUUUACAUUUCUUCGGGUAUAUCAAUGUUUUAGAGUAUUUAUUUCAGUAAAUUUUUAUUCAAAGUCAUGCCAUUUUCUCAAAAGUGCAAUCAAUAAAGUUUAUUUUAUUUCACAAGCUUACAUUCUGCUCAUUUAUGUUCACAUUCAACCAUCAUGUAUUUUCUAAUAGUGGAGCUAUUCAGAACAAAACCCCCACAAUCUAAAUUUAAUGUGUGGUUGCAAGAUAAAAAUUCUAAUUUAUUGAAUUAAUUAAAUAUUUAAAGUUGUACACAUUAUUUUGAUGAGUUGUGUUGACAUAAUAAUGUUGAUAAUUACAUCAACUUAAUAUUGUGUGUAAUUUCUGAAUUAAUUGAUUUAAAACAAAAUUUACGUUGUAGUACAUUUACAUUUAUUCAUUUAACAGAGUGUUAGAGGACCUGUAGACUGAACAAAUACUAAGGACAUUACAAUGUGAGUAUCAUUUCACUUACAAUUAAAUUCCACUAAAGCAAUGAAUUGGGGGUAUGUUCUCAAUAGUGAUAUGACCAAUAGUGGACUCGUGUAUAGGCUACACCUGCUAAUACAUUUGAUGUACUAUUUUGCACUACUACACGUAGCUAAUGCUAGUCAUAUUUAGCUGUGUAAUUUGAAUAUCUACUCUUUAGUUUACCGUAGCAGUGGAUAAGAAGGAAAAAGUUUCAUUUGACAAAUCUGCUCAUCUAGAGAGGGCUUUUCAUUUGUGCUAUAGGAAAGAUAAGCAUGAUUACAUUUCUGCUUAUUCAUGUAAACCUGAACUACAUUGUGUAAUCUAAUUUCAUGUAUUGAUACAUUUUUUUAUUUUAUUUUUUAAAAUCUUUUGUCAUUCGCACACGUAGCCUUCUAGCUCCACAGCCUUUGGACUGGAUAGUUCUAUGAGAGAGAUCAAAGUAGUAGACACAGAGUGUUUAUUUUUUUAUCUAUAUUGCUCAUUUCAUUCAGUGCUUUAACGUCUAUAAAUCCUGCAGAGAUACGUAUGAGAUUUGUAAUGUAAAUCACACUGGAUUUUACUUGAUAUUGUUAUAAAACUUAAAGGCAGUCAUUUUUUCUGGUUUAAAAGACUGCAUUCUACUGCAGACAAUCUAUAUGGAGAAACAUAAUUUUAAAAAUGAUUGUCAACUUAACAGCUUGUGUUCAUAAUUAUGGUCAUUUAGUACAUAACACUUAAAUUCCUUUUAAAUAAUGUGAAAAUAAAGUGUGUUUGUGUGUGUCAUAUUUUUGUUUGGAUGUCUGUGUGUAAUACACAUGGCCAUUCCAUGUAUAGUAACAUUUGUGUCAGGAAUGGAUGGGAUCCCGAUUUAACAUAACUAGUAACGUUUGUGUCAGGAAUAGAUGGGAACCCGAUUUAACAUAAAUAUAUAUAUUUUUAUGACCUACCACAGAGUGUUAUAAAGAACAUGUGUGCAACGUGUGUGGGUGGAAAACAUAUGGCCAUACCCGGUAUGGUAACGUUUGUGUCACGAAUGGAUGUGAUGCAGAUUUAACAUAACUAUAUAUAUUUUUAUGACCUACCUCAGAGUGUUAGAAAAACAUGUGUGUGCAACUUGUGUGGGUGGAAAACAUAUGGCGGUACCACGUAUGGUAACGUUUGUGUCACGAACAGAUGUGAUCCAGAUUUAACAUAACUAUAUAUAUAUAUUAUGACCUACCACAGAGUGUUAGAAAGACCAUGUGUGCAACGUGUGUGGGGUGGAAAACAUAUGGCCGUACCAGGUAUGGUAAUGUGUCACAAAUCGUGACGGAGCAGAGAUAAGGCGGAUGCAAGUGCAGGACAACAGUUGUUUAUUUGUAGAGACAGGCAGGCAGACAAAUCCAAAACGUGAUCCAAAACGUAAUCCAUAAACAUGCAGGAGGUCAGGCGAUUGGCAAACAGGCAUACACGGGGCUAGGCAGGAAUCUAGGUCGAUAACCAAAACAAGACACGAACUAGAACGAGGGACUGGAAGCGGAGAAUCCAGCACGAACUGACUAUGACUAUGACUAUGACGCGAACUAAACUAACGCUAAACAUUUACUUACUUCUUACGAUUUAUUAAUCUUCCGCGUUGUGUGCUGGGAAGCGCGCGGUAUAUAUGCGGACCUGAUUAGCGUGUAAACUGCUAUCAGCUGGGAGCAAUACAGACCCACGUGAAUUCCCAGCCAUUGACGGAACAGGGAGGAGACAUGACAAACAUAAACAAAACACACGUGUCCCAAUGUCACUACGGCCAACAGCGGAAAAGUCAUCCAUUCGUGACACAAACGUUAUGUCACGAUUCCCCCUUGAAGCAUCGUGCUCUAAGCACGAAUACGCGAGCACGAUGCUUCAAGGGGGAAUCGUGACAUAAUGUUUGUGUCACGAAUGGAUGUGAUCCAGAUUUAACAUAACUAUAUAUAUUUUUAUGACCUACCACAGAGUGUUAGAAAGACCAUGUGUGCAACGUGUGUGGGGUGGAAAACAUAUGGCCGUACCAGGUAUGGUAAUGUUUGUGUCACGAAUGGAUGUGAUCCAGAUUUAACAUAACUAUAUAUAUUUUUAUUAUCAUGACCUUUGAUCUAGAUAUAGAGAGUUAGAAUGUGUAUCUUUUUGACCUUUGACCUAUACCUGUCAAAACUAAGAUUACAAUAUAUACAAAGUAUCUCUCUCUCUCAAGAAAUCCACAAAUAUAAAGAAUUCACAACAUUAAAGUCCAUAAAUAAAGUUAUGUGUAAUAAAGUUGAAAGACACAGGGGAAAAUGGAUUGAACAAUCUAAGAAAAAGCUGUUUUCCAAGGCAAGGUAAGGCAAGGAACCAGCUGAAAUCAGUAAGUAAUUAGAAAGUAAUUAUACCUCAUAUCUUUGCAAAUUAAUAUCAGCUGGGUUAGUACAUUGAUGGUCUAUAAAAAGGCCUUUCGAUACCAAGGUGUUACACAAGAAACAUCUCAUGAUGGGUUAAGGCAAAGAGCUCUCCCAAGACCUUCACGACCUUAUUGUUGCAAAACAUAUUGAUGGAAUUGGAUACAGACGUAUUUCAAAACUUCUGAGUCAUCCAGGAAGCACCAUUGGGGCCAUUAUCCAGUGGAAGUGGAAGCAAUAUCACCCCGUCAUCAACCGGCCACACACAGGAGCUAUUUGCAAGAUUUCUGACCAGGGAGUCAGAAGAGUAGCCCAAGAGUCAAAGACCACUCAGAAAGAGCUCCAGAAACACUUGGAGGCAAUGCACUCUACCGCCAUGGCCUCUAUGCAUGCUCACCCUGCAUGAUUCCAUUACUAAAGAAAAGGUAUGUUGAAGCAUGUUUAAAGUUUGCUACAACUCAUUUGGACGAGCCUAUGAAAUACUGGGAGAGUGUAGUCUAGUCAGAUGAGAGUAAAGUUGACAUUUUUGGCUGUCAUACUACACAUCAUGUUUGGAGAAGAAAUGGCAUUGCACUUCACCCUAAAAACACUAUACCAACAGUGAAGUUUGGAAGUGGAAGCAUUGUGGUGUGGGGCUGUUUUUCAUCGCACUGUACUGGCAGAUUUCAUAUAAUUAAAGGAACGAUGAAUGGAGCCCUUUACUGGAGUAUUCUUGAGAAGCAUCUGAUGCCAUCCACCAGGAUGAUGAAGACGAGACGUGGGUGGACCUUCCAGCAGGACAACAAUCGGAAGCAUACAGCAAAGGAAACUCUCAAUUGGUUUCAGAGAAAAAAAUCAAUGUGUUAGUAUGGCCCAGUCAAUCACCUGACUUGAAUCCAAUUGAACAAGAUUUAAAGACGAAGACAAAUGUUUAGAAGAAUGGACCAAAAUCACAUCUGAAGACUGCAGCCCAUUAAUUUCUUCAUACAGGAAGCGUCUUUAAGCUGUCAUUACAAACAAAGGCUUCUCCACUAAGUAUUAAAUAAAUUUUAGCGUGUUCAAUACUUUUUUCUUGUGUCAUUCCUCUUUAUUACACAUAACUUCAUUUAUGAACUUCAAUGUUUGCAUUUCUUUAUAUUUCUGGAUUUCUUGAGUUAAUACCAAAGUCUGGUGAAAAUUUCAUAUGAAUAACCUAUAUUUUAUAUAUGUCUUUCAGUAAAUAUAUUUACUGAAAAAAAAUGUUGAUGCAUUCAAUAUUUAUUUCCUCCACUGUAUUUUCCAAUCAACAUACUUUUGUAGCUUACUCUAUUGGUUCUGGGAGGUCAAGACAGUCAGCUGUGGUUACAAGCUCACCCUCCUCUUCACUAUUUUCAGGUGCAACACCUCCAUGUAUUCUCUACCAAUAAGAAGAGAGCAUGCACAAAUGUAAAAAUGUACAAAUUUCAUGCUCCCAAGCACAUAAAGAAAAUAUUUUAUAAACCAAACAAACCUGUAACACCGAUUCUCUGUCCCAACAUCGUCUGAAGUACCUGGAUGGUUGUCCUCUGAAUCUGACAGCAUUAUCUGAAAACAGAAAUCUGGUUUUAUCAAGAGCUGUAAUUUUAUAUAGAACGUUAUAACUCAGCUAGGUGUGCAUUAAACUACAAAACCAGUUCCAAAAAAAGUUGGGACACUGUCUAAAAUGUAAAUAAAAACAGUAUGCAAUGAUCUGCAAAUCUCAUAAACCCAUAUGUUAUUCACAAUAGAACAUAACACACAUAUCAAAUGUUUUUUGUUGCUGCUGUCCCAACUUUUUCGAGACAUGUUGCUGCCAUCAAAUUCAAAAUUACCUUAUUUAUUUCUUAGAAUGGUACAUUUUCUCAGUUUAAACAUUUGAUAUGUUUUCUUUGUUCUACUGUGAAUAACAUGGGUUUAUGAGAUUCGCAAAUCAUUGCAUGCUGUUUUUAUUUACAUUUUACACACCGUCCCAACUUUUUUUUGGAAUUGGGGUUGUAGUUUAAUGUACAACAUUGAGGAGAAGAACAACUCAACUUGUCUACAGUGUUAUAGUUAUAAAAAUAAAUAAAUAAAAAAAAAUCAUCACACAGAUACUAUUACAUUGUGGCUAGCAAUUUUUAUGACAUUUUGUAUAAUGCCUUACUUAUAUAGUGCCUUACUUACUAGCACAACAAUGCAAGCACAACAGUAGGAUCCAGGGUUCAUAUCCAGGUCAUGUUAGUCAGACUAAUGGGUUCAAACCACUGUUAGCACUAACCUUUACUACACUUCCUUGAGAUGGUUCCACAGUACAAUCACUAAACAGCACACAAACAAGAUAGACUUAAGAUAGAAAAUGUGAGCAGUUGUAAUCAGAUGUUUAAUAGCACUGUAUAUUUAGAUUUGAUAAACAAUAUCCUGUUUGUUUUGCAUUUAUGGUGAUCAUGAACCAUACCAUUAACACACCUUACUUUUUAUUAUUCACACAUUUUUUCUGGUGUGCUUGCAUGCUGAGGUGCUAUUGGAUAAAACAAAAAAAACAUAAUAAUCAGUUAUUUUUAUAUUAUACAGUAUCUCACAAACGUGAGUACACCCCUCACAUUUUUAUAAAUAUUUGUUUAUAUCUUUUCAUGUGACAACACUGAAGAAAUAACACUUUGCUACAAUGUAAAGUAGUGAGUGUACAGCUUGUGUAACAGUGUAAACUUCUUGUCCCCUCAAAAUAACUCAACACACAGCCAUUAAUGUCUAAACCGCUGGCAACAAAAGUGAGUACACCCCUAAGUGAAAAUGUCCAAAUUGGGCACAAUUAGCCAUUUUCCCUCCCCGGUGUCAUGUGACUUGUUAGUGUUACAAGGUCUCAGGUGUGAAUGGGGAGCAGGUGUGUUAAAUUUGGUGGCAUCGCUCUCACACUCCCUCAUACUGGUCAGUGGAAGUUCAACAUGGCACCUCAUGGCAAAGAACUCUAUGACAAUCUGAAAAAAAGAAUUGUUGCUCUACAUAAAUAUGGCCUAGGCUAUAAAAAGAUUGCCAAGGCCCUGACACUGAGCUGCAGCACGGUGGCCAAGACCAUACAGUGGUUUAACAGGACAGGUUCCACUCAGAACAGGCCUUGCCAUGGUCAACCAAAGAAGUCGAGUGCAUGUGCUCAUCAUAUCCAGAGGUUGUCUUUGGGAAAUAGACAUAUGAGUGCUGCCAGCAUUGCUGCAGAGGUUGAAGGGGUGGGGGGUCAGCCUGUCAAUGCUCAGACCAUACGUCGCACACUGCAUCAAAUUGGUCUGCAAGGCUGUCGUCCCAGAAGGAAGCCUCUUCUAAAGAUGAUGCACAAGAAAGCCCGCAAACAGUUUGCUGAAGACGAGCAGACUAAGGACAUGGAUUACUGCAACCAUGUCCUGUAGUCUGAUGAGACCAAGAUAAACUUUGGUUCAGAUGGUGUCAAGCGUGUGUGGCAGCAACCAGGUGAGGAGUAUAAAGACAAGUGUGUCUUGCCUACAGUCAAGCAUGGUGGUGGGAGUGUCAUGGUCUGGGGCUGCAUGAGUGCUGCCAGCACUGGGAGCUACAGUUCAUUGAGGGAACCAUGAAUGAUAACACGUACUGUGAUAUACUGAAGAAGAGCAUGAUCCCCUCCCUUCGGAGACUGGGCCGCAGGGAAGUAUUCAAGCAUUAUAACGACCCAAAACACACCUCCAAGACGACCACUGCCUUGCUAAUGAAGCUGAGGGUGAAGGUGAUGAACUGGCCAAGCAUGUCUCCAGACCUAAACCCUAUUGAGUAUCUGUGGGGCAUUCUCAAAUGGAAGGUGGAGGAACACAAGGUCUCUAACAUCCACCAGUUCCGUGAUGUCGUCAUGGAGGAGUGGAAGAGGACUCCAGUGGCAACCUGUGAAGCGCUGGUGAACUCCAUGCUCCAGCAGUGCUGGAAAAUAGUUAUAGCCACACAAAAUAUUGACACUUUGGGCUCAAUUUGGACAUUUUUACUUAAGGGUGUACUCACUUUUGUUGCCAGCGGUUUAGACAUUAAUGGAUGUGUGUUACCUGCGUGAAGUUGGCCCCCCCACCAACGCAAAAUUUCAGCAAAAUAGUCUCAAUCGUAUCCUCGGUGUGAGCACCCUUUUAGAGUCGAACUGCCAAAAACUUUUUCAAGACAAAUCAUAUCAUCAUUUGUUCAAUAAACAAUUCUCUUUACUUCAUUCACUGGUCUCUCAUGAUUGAACUUUUCAUUUAUUUUCAAGGAGAAUAAACUGUUACAUUUCACUCCCACUGCUAGGUGUGACACUUCUGUUCAUGAUGCUCUUGUGGAAAUUAGUGUUGUUUGUCGACUUUUCCUAUACUCAGUUACUAAAUCAAAAUUCUGGCCAGUGUAAGUACAAUUUAACACUGUCAGUUACAAUAUUAUUAGUUAGCUUUAAUUAUAAUGGUAAAACAUUCAAAGAGCUAAGAUUGUCAAUGUUUAUUGAACAGAAAACUCAUUGCUAAUACUAAUAUGGCUAAUGAGCUAUGAAAUGCUAAUUACAGCUGCACAUGGUACCCAUGUUAGUUUUUUGAAUAAUUUUUUGAAUUACCAUAUUGGUCCUAAUAUAAGAUAUAAUAUCCUUAUAUAUUAUUACUAUAUUUUCAUCGUAUUCUGGCAAAUACAGUAAUACAUGAAAACAAGUUUAUAGUGUAUAUGACAUUUUUUGCAUCAGGAUUAUUUCAGUGGGUAAUUAUGUUUUGCUUAUGCCAGAUGCCCAAGAAAGCAGCGGUCGACAAGGAUUCAAUUUUCACAGUCCUCUGUUCAUCAAAAGAGGCCAUAGUCCAAAAUCGCAACAUAGCUACUCCUAAUCAGAGCAUCUGACAGAGCUUAGUGAGCAGCUAGAAAACAAGAUCACUGCAAAGGCUCUAUAUACUUUUGUUAAAUUGAACAGACACAACAUCUGAACUGCUUUAGGGUUUAUUUAUGAAAGUGAUCAUGAAACAAGUGGCAGUAGUGAUGACACUGAUUUUGAGCCAGGGUCCCUUUCCCCAAGACCAAAAGAUUUCUGGACUUUUGAUCUUCAAGUUCCAUUUCAGAAAUGGACUGAAUUCAUGCCCGAAACAGUUCAAUACAAAAACAAGUUCUCUAAAACACAAAAAAGGGAAUAUACAAUUUUGAAGCCUGGCAUCUGGACAUAUGUGAUAAAUCAUCACAAGUGAAAAGCCCCUGCACAUUUGUCUUUAUAAGAGCCAAGUUCUACCCAUUAGUAACAGAGAAAUUCAUAGAAAUCAGAGGCAAUUGUAAGGAAAGUCAUGGCCACAUUCACAUAAAAUGUGACAGAGAGCCUGAAAUGAACAGCCCAAUGGUGCUCAAUUGUGUAAUUAAAAACACUGACGACUACCUGCACACUGGAUGUUCGAAGCGUCUGAUGUCUGGUAACUUGCAUGUGCAGACAGCCAAGGAACUUUGUGAGGGUAGAAUGGAACCCCAUGUAUGGAGGGCAUCAAAGGCAACAAAGCUGAUGGAUUUUGGAGAUCCUGAACCAAGCCAUCUUCCUAAUUUGGCCACCCUGCACAAAGCAAAGCAAGAGAGAAAUGACUUAGAAUUAGGUGACAAGGAUCCUAUUUUGUUACUGCAGAUGUUAAAUAUAGUGCACCUCACAGUGGUAGCAUUAAAGACAUUGGACUGGACAAAUUCUUCUGUCACUACUGGAGUCAAACACAAAUGUUUAUGUACAAGUCAUUAUCAAAAACUGACUGUCUACUAACCCCACUGUGAGUUUUGAUGCAACUGGCUCAGUGGUGAGGAAACUACAGAAACCAAAUGGCAUGUCUGGCCAUAUCUUCUUAUAUCAGGGUGUUCUGGCAGGGGAUGAGAGUUCAAGUGUCCCAGUGGUGCAAAUGCUGUCAGAGAGACACGAUGUUAAUGCAAUAACACAUUGGCUGACAGAAUGGAUACGUGCAGGUGCACCAAUUCCAAAAGAGGUUGUGAGUGACUUUUCUCUGGCUUUGCUUGGAGCGCUGGUCAAGGCUUUUACUGCUCAUUCUGAUCUGAAGACCUACAUCAAUGAGUCUUGUGGUGUCUUACUCGGUAAAGUGUCAGCAAAAGUGCCACCUUGUUUGUUCAGGUUGAUGUUGCACACUGCAUCAAGAUGGUCUGCCAGUGGGACUGCUUGAAGAAAAAAAUCACAUCACAUUAAAGAUUUCUUUGUGAGGUCAAUGGCACAGCUUCUCAAGUCACAAUCCAUGGACAAUGCAAGAGAGCUACUACGCAGUAUUACUGUUGUGGCUCUCAGCAAAGCAGAGGGCAAUGAUAGCUCUGGAGCCCCCCUUAUAUCAGAAAGAUGCAAGAAAUACCUGAAAGCCAGAAUUGCAGAAGAGUGUGUAAUCAUUCCAGAUGUAGAGUGUGAGGACCUGGAAGAAGUGCAUCCAUUUGACCAAACACAGACUGACCUACGGCAGUGGGUGACAGACAUAUGUGAGGAGAGCAGGUCACUUGCCCUGGCUAAUGGUGAUCAUGAUAAUAUGCACUUCCUCCCUGAGAUUAUUCCCAAUAUAAUCUGGCUUGCAAAUUACUUACCACUCUGGACAGGGGUAAUGAUCCCUCACUUCCGAAGCACCAACAUCACUGCAAGUUCAGCCAAUGUUGAAGCAGAGUUCAAAAACAUCAAACGUGGGCUCUUCAAGCAUGAAAACUUGCCUAUUCGGGUGGAUCAAUUCAUUGCUCGACAUUUGUCCUUCAUUGAGGGUAAUAUGUGAAUUUAUUCUGCAAAACAAAAAGGUGAAGAAGGUGAAGAAGAUGCUGCUGUUGCAACAGUGAUCAUCACAGGAGCCAAUCCAAUACCCACCACAACUUGCUGUGAAGACGGAAAAGCAGAAAUGGAUGCUUCCUGUUCUGGGAAGUCUGACACUGUCACAAACAUCCAUCUGUUGUGGAUAAAAAUGACAUGAAAUAAACAUGAGGGAGACCUAGUAUGAGUAAUAUGUAAUUUUAUUGAAAAUUCACAGGACUGGUAGGUGCGUAAUCUUGAGGAGAGUGGUAGGGGGAAGAAAAUGGGGUGUGAAAAUCGGGUGUGCAUCAGCCGUGAGAUGCGCGAGCUGAUAGUGAGUGUUCAGGUCCAAAUCCAGCCCCUCCUGUAAAGAAGAGAAGGGAAAAUGACGAUGGGCACCUAGACACACAGAAGCGGUAUAAGGCGAAUAUUGACAAAUUGGAUUCACACUUUAAGAUCUUUUAAGAGUAACACACUAUGGUCUAUUAGUCAAAAAGAAGUAUUAGAGCUGAGGAGUGCAAACACACACACACACACUCUCGUACAGUCAAGGGCGGGCAUGUAGACAUAACACACACAGACACACUCUCUGUCUCUCUCUCUCACACACAUAACAUUAUAACUUUAUAAGAAUAAUAAAAAGGAGUAUUAAGAUAUUAUAAGGGUAAUAUCUUAUAAUAAUAGAAAACUCUUUAUAAAAUAAAGAGUAGUAGGAUAUGUAGAACAGUAGAAGGGUAAUAUAAUGAUAUUAUGAAGUAGGAAGUACAGUAAACCAUUUUGCAAGCAGUAUAACUAUAUAUAAAAUAGAGAUAUAGAGCAAAUAUGAAAAUAAAUUAUGAACCAGAAAUACAGAAAAAUGUAACUUACUCAUAAUUCAGAUGGUGAAGAUUCUUGUCUCGCAAGGAAGGCCUUAAUUUUAAGAGAAAACCAUGAGGAGCCAUUUAUAAGGGUAGCUGAGUCAAGCUGCCCCUGCGAGAUAAUAGUGAGACCAAGGUCUCUCUAAAUUGUUUUGUCUCUCUACCACUUUCGAUCCUAAUGGUAUCCAGAAAGUCCUCUUUCAAAACAUAAUGGUAAAUUUGAUAAGCCUCUUUCAAAACAUAAUGGUAAUGUAGAUGAGCUCUUUUUUUAACCCUAUUGGUAUUGAUAUCAUAGUCUUUCUGAAAUAUAUUGGUUAUCUACUGUGUAAAUACAGUAUAAAUACUGGAGCUUGAGCUCCAGGUGUCAGAUCACUUCUGAGAAUUCUCAUGGGUGUGGAUCUCGUGUGGUGGAAGGAAACCAAUAAAUCUGGACCCUUGCUUCUUCUCACUCAUGGCUGGUGUCUUUUUUUCUAUCUCCAACUGGGUUUACAGAUGUGAGUAUUUGCUUCUAUGUUGAAUUUUAAGUGUUUUUGGGUAAUAGGCUAAAUUUGGGCCGGUUCUGUUGUGUCUCUUUUUUAAAACUUCGAGAUUUUUUCCACAUGAACUUCAGAACGCCAUAUUUUAAAUGCUGUACGGACAUAACAUUAAGACAUAUAUCCAUGAAUUGACUUUCUAGUACUUGUGCAGCUCCUGUUGUACUUCCUGUGUAUUUUAAUUGACAGAUGUAUCUUCCAAACAACGGUAAGUAAUCCAUUCGCAAACUACACCUACCUUUUCCAUUUUGUCGGAUUUGUUAAUAUAAUGUGUUUUCGGAUUUGUUAGUUUGUUUUCUGAUUUGUUAAUUUGUUUUCUGAUUUGUUAAUGUGUUUUUGGAUUUGUUAAUGUGUUUUCUGAUUUGUUAAUGUGUUUUCUGAUUUGCUAAUGUGUUUUCGGAUUUGUUAAUGUGUUUUGCACUUCACGGCCACCGUACAUUUUUCACAUUACGACAUAAUAAUAUACUCUGACAUGUUUAACAUUUUCUGACGUAGUGAUGAGUAAUAUAAUUGUUUACAUUAAAAUCUAUAACAUGAUAAUAAAGUAUGAAAAGGUGAAAAAGUGAGGACUGAAGUGAAGAAAGUCAGUUUUUAUCAAAUGUACUCUGACAAUCAUUUGCUCCAGUGCUCAUUAAAAUCUAUAACAUGAUAAUAAAGUAAGAAAAGGUGAAAAACGUGAGAACUGAAAUGAAGAAAGUCAGUUUAUCACAUGUGCUCUGACAAUCAAUUGCAUGAGAUGCUCCAGUAUGACAUUUUUCAUAUUAUGUCAUAAUAAUAUACUCUGACAUGUUUCAUAUUUUCUGACAUAAAGUGAUAUGUAAUAUGAUUGUUUGCAUUCAAAUCUAUAACAUUAUAAUAAAGUAUGAAACGGUGAAAAAGUGAGAAUUGAAGUGAAGAAGGUCAGUUUUCAUCAAAUGUGCUCUGAUGAGACUUCUGGCUGAGCAUGUGAGUGAGAAGACACGCGUGGAGUGAGCUCCUAAGCAUUUUAUCUUUUAAUUGUGCUUUUCAGGCAACCCAAAUCUUUUCUAAGACAUUUGGUGCCUUCUUUUUCAAUUACUCAGUUUACAAUUAUAAACAGAAAGGAGUUAUGGCUUCUGAAAGACUACGGAAACCUAAAUCUUCACUGUUGGAAACUCUCUAUUCUCUAUUCCCUCAGAUAUGUAUAAGUAUGUUUAGGUUAUAGUUUAAUUUCUGUCUCAUGAUCUUUUCUAGACCUGUCUGAUGUGUACGUGCCAGUAAAAAUGUCACCAUAGGAACUUCCUAUUUUCUGUUAAGAGAACCAGACCAUAUAUGAUCAACAACUGCUGUACAUUCUUGUAUUGCCUAAGAUGUUUUUCACAUAGGUGGCCAGACAAUUCAACUGCCAUAUUAUUUCCACACAGUAGUGCACCUACCCCGGCUAUUCGUACCUUUGUAUAUGUAUAUAUAAACCUCUGUGAAAUCUGCAUCAAACCAGACGUCUCUUUGAACUGCUCUGGUUGCCAGUGUGUUCAUAUAGACUCUCCAGGCCUGCAUACACUCCGUGAUAAACCACAUGCACUAGAUUUUCUUUUGAGUAAAUGAACCAAGAGGGUGAAAAGGCUGACGGAGGAAAGAGGGAUAAUAGAAGCUGUUAUUUGCUUUAUCCCUAAAAUUCACCAAGCAUGACAGUGAGUCAUGGUGACAAGCUACUGUUGGACCUGGGAAACCUCCGCACUGCUUUGAUCACGGAGCUAACAUCUACCAUUGCAAUACAGGCUAAUGACUCUGCUCUGGCCCCAGUUGUUGAGUCUUUUGAGAGUUUUAAAUCGAGCAUUGAAUCACAAGGACAACGUAUUGACGAGCUUGACCAGCACCUGUAUGAUUACAGUGAUCGCAUUAUAGCACUGGAACAGAUGGUGCAAAAGCUAAAUUCGGCUAAUAAACAACUCGAAUAUCUACCAAUCGUUAUUUCGGAUGACGUCCCUUUAAGUCUUGACAUUCUUCCACUUUCGCAUCGCACCUUUCGCCUACCAUGGAGGCAACUUUUGAAACAUAUCAUAUUAAGUCAUAAGCUUGUGAAACAUGUCUUAGUAUCAUAUUAAUUCAUAAACAUGUGAAACAUAUCAUAUUAAAUAAUAAACAUGUGAAACGUCAUGUUAAGUCAUAAACAUGUGAAACGUCAUAUUAAAUCAUAAAUAUGUGAAACACAUCAUAAUAUCAUAUUAAGUCACGAACAUGUGAAACAUAUCAUUUUAAGUCAUAAACAUGUGAAACAUGUCAUAGUGUCAUAUUAAGUCAUAACCAUGUGAAACAUAUCAAAUUAAGUCAUAAACAUAAACACGUCAUAGUAUCAUAUUAAGGCAUAAAUAUGUGAAACAUAUCCUAUAAAGUCAUAAACAUGUGAAACAUAUCAUAUUACAUCAUAAGCAUGUGAAACAUAUCAUAUUAUAUCAUAAACAUGUGAAACAUAUCAUACUGAUUAAAAACACAUGAAAAAUAUCAUAUUAAGUCAUAAACAUGUGAAACGUGUCAUGUUAAGUCAUAAACGUGUGAAGCAUGUCAAAUUAAGUCAUAAAAAUAUGAAACAUGUCAAAGUAUCAUAUUAAGGCAUAAACAUGUUAAACAUAUCAUAUUAAGUAAUAAACAUGUUAAACAUGUCUUAGUAUCAUAAUAAGUCGUAAAUAUGUUGUGAGGGAAAUUACUCAUUUUUAUUUUGUAAUAAGUUUGUUCUUGUUCUGUUUCAUUCUCAUGUGAGGAUAAUGCCUAUGAAGGCCACGUCAUGUCACUCAGAGAUCAGUACAGAAUGUUUAUCUUCUUACAGAGACACAAACAUGUUAUUCCGCUCAAGGUUCAUCUAAACAUCUUCCAAGAUCCUAAAACAAAGCCUGUUUGAACUGCCUCAAACUGCUUCUUAUCGGUACACAGAAUUAUGUCAUGCUCUGCGUUUCAUAUAUAUAGUAGUGGUUCAGUACAAGGGGUUCAGAGAGCUCUCAUUAUUCUAUCCUGCUUUAUUCUAUCCUGUGUUAACAAUCUUUCUGUAAUAAACCCUUUUACCUUAAGAGGACGAGUCUGCGAGUGUUGUCUAAUUUCCACGACAAUUUGGUGUCUCCUGGCUGGGCUGCACAAGUCUUUUCAGCUUUUCUGGACAACAAGCAAACCGGAGGACGCAUGUGGAAAAGUUUCACCCUGAAGCUCAUGUCAAUACAGGCGGUUUGCCCUUUAUUGUGCAGAGCGAAAGACCAACGCAACCUUACCACUGACCGGUAGGAAUCAUCAAAAAAAAAAAAAAAAAAAAACAGCCUUAAGGUAAAUUAGAAUUUUAUGAAGUCAUUGUGUAUUACUGUCUGUAUGGAAGGGAGUCAAUGAUAUAAGAAAUGCAUGUAUUACAUUGAGCAAUUUCUUAUAAGAAGUUUGGGGAACUUCGCCUCUGCGAUGGCAGAGAGGUUGGUGUUUCUUAGAUCACAGCUUCAAAACUAAGAUAUAUACCGACGGGUAUAUAUAUAGAGAGAGAAGAUAAUAACGGUAAAAAUAAACAGAAACAGUCUGUUUCGAGGAAUAAAUAAGUAAAGAGAGUACUUAUUAAGAAAAGAAAUAGGCACAGUAUUUUUACGGCAGAUUAUUAUCAAGUAGCAUGCCCCAUUGACUCAUUCCAUCAUAUCAGCGGUACAUGAUACAUUUGGCAAAUUUAACGCACAAGUAAAUUUUACUGAGAUAAAAAUAAAAAUAAUGAUAAUAAUAUAUAUUUUAUCUAAUAUAUUUAAUAAUAUUUUUUCUUAAAAAGAAGGGAAGAGAAAACUGUAAGUCCUACCAAAUUUCUGUAUGUGGACUCACCCUCACAGGUAAACUCUUUUACAUUCUUAAGGUUUGCUCUAUUGAACCUAUAGGUUAUAUGAUUCACAUUUUGAACCUUUUCUGUCUGUGCACUUCACUUGAUUCACUUGAUGUUCAUAGCAUGUUAAAUUGAUUAAAACUUUGAAAGUUAUAGAAGUGUAAAAGGAAAAAAUAAAUCUAUAAAUAAAAAUAGAAAAACAUGUAGCAAAGCACAUCCUGUGACACAUGCUAUGGUAUGUACAGGGUGUUCAUAUGUUGAUCCUGUUGUCCCCCUAUCUAUAUAGAGGAGAAAUAACUCACAAGCAUGACGGUCGGUGUUACUUUCACGAGAGCUUUACUCGAAUGAAUUGUCAAAAAUACAACAAUAUACACAUAACAAACAGUUGUACAAAACAGUAAACCUAAAGUGCAUUAAGACAUUAUUUAAAUAAAAGUACAAAAUAUGCGUCUUUCAUGUCCACAUGUUCAAAUUACGGCUAAACACAAGCUAGUGCUGUUCUGGUUUUCAGUACAAGGUGAGGACCUGCACGUGCGCAAACACACACGACAAAACUUCAGAAAUCAGAAACAAAAUAUAAGUAAAUGUACUUAUAUUUUGUUUCUGAUUUCUGAAGUUUUGUCAUGUGUGUGUUAGCGCACGUGCAGGUGGAGGGAUGGAGGAACUGUUUUUACUGUGUUAACUUGCUGACAUAUUGCAAUGGCAAUAUGUCAGUAAGUUAACACAGAAAAAAACAGUUGAGUUAAACAUGCACAACAUACAUAGAGUAGAAAUAAAUCACAAGCAUGACGGUCGGUGUUACUUCCACGAGAACUUUACACGAAUGGAAAAUUAUCGCUUUUCUUCCAGGUAUGUGGGGGAGACUAAAGCAAUCGAUCCCAGAGUGCAGUAUUCAGACCAUCCUAAUAGAUGACUGAUCAGCGUUAUACUUACUUUAAUUAUCAAUGUAUUAACACAUUAAAAUGGAACAACAGCGAAAAAUAAACACUCUUUUAACUCUCUUUUUUAAACAUUUGACUAUUUAACUUGUUACACUCUCCCCCAAAUCCUCAACAAAUCCUCUUCUGAACAAAUCCUCUUCUGAAAGGGGAUACUUAGGACAAAGGUCACAGUUCAAAUAUAUCGUCAACAGUCCAUAUUCACAGUCCAUAUCUGUUGACUGGCUACUGUAUAAACAGUCCAUAAAGAGUCUUUGCACAUACUCUUGAUCAACAGUCCAUCGGUUUCAAUGAUCUGUGCAGUCUGCAAAUUCAAAGUUAAUUUCAACAGCCCGUGAAAACAGUCUAUGAAAACAGUCCAUUAGUAGUUCAUGGUUCUAUUUCAGUACGUCACUUCUGUAAACUCACAUUUGCUGGAGUCCAUACAUACAGGGUGGCUGAAGGUAGUAUGGCUGCAAGGGUGGCAACCAUGGGACCAGUCCUGGUUCAGGGUGGGAGCCAUGGGAGCCAUAGGCAAUGACACUCAGUUUGCCAUCUUGUUUUUGAUACAGUACUGCUCCCAAGCCUUGAUGUGAUGCUUCAGUGUGUACUAUUAAAGGCUGAGUGAAAUCAGGGAACCCUAACACUGGUGGAUGAAGCAAACAGUCAAUCAGCUGUUCAAGUGCCUGCUGGUGCUGGUCAGUCCACGUGAUUGGCUUGUUCGAGGUCACAACACGAGUCAUUUUCUUUGUUUUUGGUUUUCUUGUGUUUUCUUGUGUCUCUUGAAAACAUUUGUAUCUGCUUUCAAGAGAUCGUACAGGCAACUGGCCUUUCUAGAAAAGUCUUUAAUGUACUGCCUAUAGUAGGUGAGUAACCCAAGCAUUUUUCAUUUUUCAUUUUUCUGAGCUGGCCCACAUUCUGUGGUCUGAUGUCUUUCAAGGCCCUAACUGCUUCAAAAUCUGCUGGAUCAACUCUACUUCCCUCUGCAGAGAUCAUUCUCCCCAAAUAACGGACUUCAGGUUUAAAGAGGUCGCACUUACUUGGUUUGAGUUUGAUGCCAUACUCUCUGAGGCAUUUCAACACUUUUUGUACAUCCUCCACAUGAUUUUCAAAGCUUUUUCUGAGGACCAGUGUGUCGUCCAGAUAAGGGAUGCAGAUGUCAUCCCGGAGCCCUUCCAAACAUUCCUCCAUACAGCGUUGAAGAGCAGCAGGGGCAUUCAUGAGGCCGAAAGCGAUGCGUAUCCACUCAUAGAGUCUCCUUGGAGUAACAAAAGCUGUCAUUGGUCUGCUCUCUUCAGAAAUAAAUCCCUGGUGGUAAGCGUUUCCCUGGUCCAGAAGAGAGAAUCUGGAAUUACCACCCAGACUGUCCAUGAUGUCUUGGACCCGAGGGAUGGGCUGGCGGUCGGGAUAGGUCAACCAAAGGUAGCCAACCUUUUUCCUCACACAUGCAACAGGUGAAGAAUACGAUGAGUUUGACUUCCUAACCCAGCCCUGUGCUCUUAGGUUGUGGAGGUAACCUUUCAUCUCCAGAUACAGUGGCCUGGGUACCAUACCUGACAUGUAUGUGCGUUUGACUGGUUCUGGGUCUUUAACAGAGAUGGCCAUUUGCAAUCUUUCGAUACAGCCAAUAUCAUGGUCUGAUCUUGAGAAGGAAUGAUACUCUUCUCUGAGCAUUUGUCUGACUAUCUGUCUCUGUUCUUCUUUCAAGUAACUUACAUUUACAGGUGGAUCCCACUGUUCACUACCAUUACAUGGGACCUGGAUACUGGUGUGGUUCAUGGUGGCUGGUGUUGAAGCCUUUUUUCAAAAAUCUGGGCAGGUAACACAGUCAUUACGGUUUGUACUGUGCCAAUUACAGUGCGCCCUGGCAAAACAAUGUCGUGGUCAGUUGGGUUAGAAACAUCAACAGUGAUGACUGGAAAAACACCUUUCUUGACUUUGACUAGUGUGUCAUAGAACUCAAGAUCAUCUGGCCACUGGGGGUUCAGGUCUGGCUGAAACAACAUGGUCAUGUCAUCUUUAAAAGGCUGGGCAGCUACACAACACUCAAUGUGAAUGCUACUCUGUUUUGGUACAGUACCCAUCUAUUUCUUUGUUUUCACUGCAUACUCAUCUAAUGUUGUGUUAAAUUUUGCCCAUUAACUGGAUGUAAUUAACAAUACUUAGCAUAGAAACAGAUACUCACAUCUACCAGACUGUUGCGUGAAGAAAGCAAGACACCGAACCAGUGAGUGAGAAGAAGCAACGGUCCAAGUUUAUUGUUCCAAAUCACAUAGGAUCUACACAGUUGAGAUGUCCCAAGGGUGAUCUAAAAACCCAGAACCGAGGCUCUCCUAUUUAUACUGUUUCUUAGGUUCAGAUUCCCCACCCUCAGCAUUUUUCCCAAUACCAAUAUGUCCUAAGUUAGCUGAUACCAGAAAACCCUUACAUUCGCUAAACGGUAUUUUUGAGCAACCAUUAUCUCGCGGAAUUCGCUUACCUCAGUGCCCCUUAUCUUUUAAAUUCAGCUCAGCUCCACUCCCCUUAUGUUCAGCCUGUCUCGUUUCGCUUUGUUUAAAAUUGACUUCCGUGUACUGGGUCACUCCUGACUGGAUUUUCAUUGAGAAAGGGUCUCCGUAUCUUUUGCACACAACAUCUCUAUAUUAUGGGCAAACGUCAGCUCUUCUUAUCUCCUUUACUGGAGGGGCUGGAUUUGGAUCUGAACACUCGCUAUCAGCUAGCGCACCUCACCGCUGACAUCACCAUGCUGAUUGAGGUCCUCCGCACCCCACCUGCUGACUCGGGCUUUCCACCACCCCUUAGGUACAGGUGUGAAAGUGUGCGUGGAUGCUGCCACUCAGACUGACCCUCUGCCUACUGUACCCCCCUCCAGCUAUCCAACUGACGAUGACGCGGCCUUCUCUGACCCAGGCUCUGAUUUCUCUCUUCCUUUUUCACCUGUCAGUCCUGAAUACUCUCCUCCAUACACCUCAGCAGGCUAUUGUUCCUCCCCAGGGCAUACGCCGUACUACCAGCCCUUCUCUCCUUUUCGCUCAUCCUCACCCACUGUCUAUACCCCCACGAGCCCUGUUAAUUCUCAAUAAAAAUCACGUGUUACUCAUGCUUUGUCUCCCUCGUGUUUUAUUUCAUAUCUAUUUUACAGACAACACUACCUGUUCUGCACUAACAGCCUGUAUGAAAGCUCUUACCUUGUUUCUUUUGAGACUUGGGAAAGAUUUCUUCACAGUACUGUACUGUUUGCGCUUAUCAGUCUUUGCCAAGAUGUGCUCCAUGACAUUAAAACCUAUGAUGGGAUGGGACAGGUGACACCCUUUCAUCACAAGCAUUGGUAUCAGCAGUUCAUUGGCUUGGUUAGUUUCUGAGGCGAGCCGUAAGGUUGUCUCAAUCCAUCCCUGGUAAGGCAUUUCAGUUCCAUUUGCUGCAGUCAAUGUGAGGUCAGGUGAAUCCAGGAUUUCUGAAAUAUCUCUCAGUCUGAAGCUCGGUAAAUAUUCCUCUUUUCAUUUUUCAUCAGUGACUGACACCUGGGACCCUGUGUCCCAUAAAGCUUGGAGUUGGUGGCCAUUCAGAUAGCAUUCAACAAGACACUGUCUGCAUACUUGUGAGGUGAGCAAGUUGCCAACUGGAGCUAGGGGUGGCAAGUAGUGUGCAUUUUUGUCUUUGCAGGGACACUUUCCAUUGCCCUUGUCAGUUAUCAGGUGAGUGCAUUUCUGUUUGUGUUCAGUUGAAUGUUGUUGUUGACAUGCUCUGGAACAAUACAGUGUCUCUUUACAGGAUGAACAUUGCUUCAGCUCAUUUGGUGAAUCUUUCUUGCCACAAUUUGCACAAUUCUGGGACAUUCCACUGGCUAUGAUAUGAGAUGUUUCACUUGUUUAAGACUCAAUAUGAUCCGUUUCACUUGUUUACGUCUCAAUAUGAUCUGUUUCACUUGUUUAUGACUUAAUAUGAUACUGUGACAUGUUUCACGCAUGCAGGACUCAAUAUGAGAUGUUUCACUCGUUAACGUCUCAAUAUGAUCUGUUUCACUUGUUUCUGACUUAAUAUGAUACUGUGAGAUAUUUCACAUGUUUUGGACUCAAUAUGAGAUGUUUCACUUGUUUACGAUUCAUUAUGAUCUGUUUCACUUGUUUAUGACUUAAUGUGAUACUAUGACAUAUUUCAGAUGUUUAUGACUCAAUAUGAUAUGUUUCACUUGUUUACGACUCAAUAUGAUCUGUUUCACUUGUUUAUGACUUAACAUGAUUCUAUGACAUGCUUAUGACUCAAUAUGAUGCGUUUCACUUGUUUAUGACAAUAUGAUAGUUAUGUUUAUGAUGUUUAUGACUUAAAAUGUUUCACAUGUUUAUGACUCAAUAUGACAUGUUUCACAUGUUUAUGAUAUUUGUCACGUGUUUAUGAUCUGUUUCAUUUGUUUAUGACUUAAUGUGUUACUAUGACAUGUUUCACUUUUCUGACUCAAUAUGAGACGUUUCACAUUUGUAUGACUUAAUAUGAUACUUUGACAUUUUUAUGACUCAAUAUGAUCUGUUUCACUUGUUUAUGACUAUUUGAUUCUAUGAAAUAUGUAUGACUCAGUAUGAUCUGUUUCACCUGUUUAUGACUUAAUAUGAUCUGUUUCACUUGUUUAUGACUUAUAAUAUUAUGACUUAUUUAUGACUCAAUAUGAUUUGUUUGACUUGUUUAUGACUUAAUAUGAUAUACUAUGACGUUUACGACGCAAUAUGAUCUGUUUCACUUGUUUAUGACUUAUAAUACUAUGACAUGUUUAUGACUCAAUAUGAUCUGUUUCACUUGUUUAUGACUUAUAAUACUAUGACAUGUUUAAGUCUCAAUAUGUUCUGUUUCACUUGUUUAUGACUUAAUGUGAUACGAUGACAUGUUUCAGACGGUUUUGACUCAAUUUGAGAUGUUUCACUUGUUUACGUCUCAAAAUGCUCUGUUUCACUUGUUUAUAACUCAAUUUGAUACUAUGAUGUGUUUCACAUGUUUAUGACUCACUAUGAGAUGUUUCACUUGUUUAUGACUCAAUAUGAGAUAUUUCACAUGUUAUUGACUUAAUAUGAGAUGGUUGACUUGUUUAUGACUUAAUAUGAUAGUUUGGCAUGUUUAUAAUAUACUAUAAUAGACUAUAUUAGUGCUGUAUAUUAGCGCUAUACGCUGUAUAGGGUUUUCAAAGUCUGAAGAGCACCAGUCUGUAUGGACACACAGGACGAAUGUGAACAAGUUUUGUUAAGGCACAUUUGAUGAAAAGUGACUUUCUACACUUCAAUUGUCUGUUUUUUCCCCCCUUAUUAUACUUUAUUAUCAACUUAUAAAUAUUAAGGUAAUCAAUCAUAUUUUUUUAUCAUUUUAGGUCAGAAACAUGUCAUAGUACUAUAGUAUGUCAUAAAUAUCGGAAAAUAUCAUAUUGGAGGACGUCAUGCAAUUAAUUAUAUGCGUUUGUUAGAAAAAACACUUUCCUUCGCUCUCAGAUGCUUGAAAAUCGCUGUUUAAGGUUUUCAGCGUCUGAUGAGCACCAAAGUGUAUGGAAACACAGGACGAAUGUGAACAAGUUUUGUUAGGGCACAUUUGAUAAAAAGUGACUUUCUAGACAUAAAAUGUCACUUUUUUCACCUUAGCACACUUUAUCAUCAACUUUUACAUUUUAAGGUAAACAAUCAAAUUUCGUAAUAUUUUAG